UGCCCUUUUAACUAGGAGAUCAAAGAAUACAGAAUACCACCUGAUACACAGAAGACAAGAAGGUAGCUCCGCACAGAAAGGCACACGGCUGAGACUUCUGAUCAACACACAGAGGACACUGCAAAUCCUGGCGCAGCCCUUCGUCUUUUUCAGCCCGUGAAGACUUCCUGCCUUGCGGUGUUUGGGGCCAAGAUGCUGUGGCCACGUCAUCCCUGGAGAUGCCGCUCAAGAAAUGCCCAGCGGGCAGCAGGGAAGGACGCCCACUUCUAGAGGAGGCACCCUCAGUCAGGUGCUUAUCUACAAGGCUCUUCCCACAGCGAUCCCGAGUGAAAACGCCAGAGGACAAGGCCAGGUCUGCCAGGCUGCUUCUGCUCCUAAAGCAGAAAUCACCAGGAGGGGGCCGCUGAGAGUGGGGAGGGGAAGAGCAGCCGUGUGGGCUGUGUUUCUGGCAUCCCGGACCUUGGGCACAUGUCCCAGAGCAGCCGCCAUCACUCCCUGCCUAACAGAGCUGCCGUCUGAACUCGGACAGCUCCGGGCACAUUGCCUGCUAAAGGCAACCGCUACCUGCUCCAGGGCAGGCUGACAGGACAGGCACUGCUGGGGUCCCCCAGCUUCCUGAGGGCUUCAGGGAGCCAGCCUGGCACGCUGUCGGGUUUGGGGCUGGGAUGGACAGUGUCUGCACAUUGCCAGCCCCAUACUAGGUGAUGUUUAAGGAAGGGGGAAAACUGCAGUCAAAGAGUCGUAAUUUCAAGCGGGGGGGCAUUUCCAGGCCAUGACAGUGUCCCGCGCGUGACAAGUAAAGGCUGCAGCUACGGUCAGUCAGAGAUGAAACCAAGCCAAACGUCACGACACAGAGCUCAGAGGGUGAGCAGGUCACUCAUGGCUCAGACUCACUCAGCGCGUGGCAGGGCCAUACCAGGACACUAGGAACAGCUCUCAAAAGCGCAGAGUGUGAGGAGGUGGGCUGGAGGGGAGGGUGACAGGGGCACACAGGACCGCCCUGCUCCGGGGACAUGUCUGUUCCUCAACAGCAGGAAGGAGAAGUCAUGGCCUGGAGACAGUGCUGGAGGCCCAGGAGGUCCC
rnacentral:lncRNA from 1 species